CCAGAGGUGACAGAGUGGACAAUUGUACGAGUCUGUAAAACUCGCGGCGCAAGCCUACGGAGGUUCGAAUCCUCCCCUCUGGA
rnacentral:tRNA from 1 species